GUCCCUGAUACAUUUCUGAGUCCAUGUUUUUGUUUCUUUUAUCAGUGUAUUUCUAUUGUUCAGAAUAUGUCAUUUCUGUCAUUCUAUAUUUCAGUUCACUGAUUUUUCUUCUGAUUCCUUCAUUCUGCUGAACACAUCCACUGAGCUUUUUAUUUUGGUUAUCAUAUUUCUCAUUUCUAAAGUUACCAUUUGCUUCUUCUCUAAAACUUCUAUUUCCUUGCUGAAGCUUUAUUUUUUUUCCAUUUGCUUCAAGUAUGUUUGUAAUUGCUUGUUGAAGUAUUUUUAUCAUGGCUGCUUUUAAAACCUUUGUCAGAUAAAUCAAACAUGUCUGUCAUCAAGGUGCUGGCAUCUAUUGAUUUUUUUCCUUCAUUUUGAGAUCUUCCUGAUUCUUUUUAUGAUGACUUGUUUUUUUAAAUUAAAGCCUAGAUGUUUUUGUCUUAUGAUGAGACUACGAACCUUAAUUAAAACUUUGGUUUCACUGGCUUUCUCUGACAUGCCUAUGUCAAGGAAACAAGAGAUUUCCUAAUGGGGGGGGGGUACUGCCUCAUUAAUGCCAGGUAGAGAUAGAGGUCCAUGUUAACCACUUAGCCUUCUUUAACACAUAAAUUGGGAGAGGGCUCCUUUUUUAUUAUAGGGCUAGGAUAUGAUUUCUGCAUCCUCAGGUAACCUCCACUGACGCCAUGGUGAGGGUGACUUUGUUACCACUGGAUGAAAGUUCUGACUCUCCACCAGGCUACUUCUGAUCCCAGCCCAGCAGAGAUGACAAAAGACACCUUAUUACUGCAAGUACACUUAGAAGUUCAGGCUCCCCAACAUAGAGACCACUAACACCAAAGAGAAGAGGCAAAGGGAAAGGCGGACCUCAUUACUGGUCAGUGGGGAUUAAAGUUCUAGCUCUCUACUUGGCCUUCUUUGACACCACCCCACUGGGGCCUCGGAAUACCUUGUUACAGCUUGGUGAAGGUAAAAUUCUAGGUUCCCCACUCAGCCUCUGCUUCUGUGACUAUGAAGUCAUGAACUCAUCUGUCAUGAUCCUCAGAAGUACAGCAGAUAGUACCUGUUAGAACACUGCCUAGAAGAUAGUUUUGUGUCUUGCUAGGCUCCUGCUUUUCUGGUCAUUUGGGUAGGAUAAAGAGGACAAACUUUUGUUGGGCUUUUUAAAAUGUGCCUGUUGGUAUUUCUGAAUUGGCAAAUACUUCAGCUCUAUAUUUGGGAACUUAUCACCAUGUUAUUUUCAGAUCUCAAGUUCCCUAGAUGGUCUACCACCUUCUUUCCACCUUUCAAAGUCUUGUGUUUAGUUUAUAUGUAAUGUCCAGAGAUUUGAGUUGUAUGUAGACAAAGGAAUAAGGAAAAGUGCGUCUACUCCAUUUGCCCAGAAGCAGAAGUCGGUAUUCUCUCAUUACUUUUUGAAAGUUUUACUUAUCUGCAAAUUGUUCUCUCUCCUGCAACAACAAAAUGAAGAAAAAAAAUUUCCUCAGAUUGUCCUGUUUCCUACUGAAAGUAAAAAAAAAAAAAAA
rnacentral:lncRNA from 1 species